rnacentral:rRNA from 1 species
UACGAAGGGGGCUAGCGUUGUUCGGAAUUACUGGGCGUAAAGCGUGCGCAGGCGGCUUCUCAAGUCAGGGGUGAAAGCCCAGAGCUCAGCUCUGGAACUGCCUUUGAGACUGAGAGGCUUGAGUACGGGAGAGGUGAAGUUGGAAUUCCCAGUGUAGAGGUGAAAUUCGUAGAUAUUGGGAAGAACACCGGUGGCGAAGGCGGCUACACUGGCCCGUAACUGACGCUCAUGCACGACAGCGUGGGGAUCAAACAGG